rnacentral:rRNA from 1 species
CGUGUAGGCGGCGUGAUAAGUCAGAUGUGAAAGCCCUGGGCUCAACCCAGGAAGUGCAUUUGAAACUGUCUUGCUUGAGUACGGGAGAGGGAAGAGGAAUUCCUGGUGUAGAGGUGAAAUUCGUAGAUAUCAGGAGGAACACCGGUGGCGAAGGCGACUUCCUGGCCCGAUACUGACGCUGAGACGCGAGAGCGUGGGGAGCAAACAG